rnacentral:rRNA from 1 species
GAUGAACGCUGGCGGCGUGCCUAAUACAUGCAAGUCGAGCGAACAGACGAGGAGCUUGCUCCCCUGACGUUAGCGGCGGACGGGUGAGUAACACGUGGAUAACCUACCUAUAAGACUGGGAUAACUUCGGGAAACCGGAGCUAAUACCGGAUAAUAUAUUGAACCGCAUGGUUCAAUAGUGAAAGACGGUUUUGCUGUCACUUAUAGAUGGAUCCGCGCCGCAUUAGCUAGUUGGUAAGGUAUCGGCUUACCAAGGCAACGAUGCGUAGCCGACCUGAGAGGGUGAUCGGCCACACUGGAACUGAGACACGGUCCAGACUCCUACGGGAGGCAGCAGUAGGGAAUCUUCCGCAAUGGGCGAAAGCCUGACGGAGCAACGCCGCGUGAGUGAUGAAGGUCUUCGGAUCGUAAAACUCUGUUAUUAGGGAAGAACAAAUGUGUAAGUAACUAUGCACGUCUUGACGGUACCUAAUCAGAAAGCCACGGCUAACUACGUG